rnacentral:rRNA from 2 species
CGUAAAGCGAGCGCAGGCGGUUUUUUAAGUCUGAUGUGAAAGCCCUCGGCUUAACCGAGGAAGCGCAUCGGAAACUGGGAAACUUGAGUGCAGAAGAGGACAGUGGAACUCCAUGUGUAGCGGUGAAAUGCGUAGAUAUAUGGAAGAACACCAGUGGCGAAGGCGGCUGUCUGGUCUGUAACUGACGCUGAGGCUCGAAAGCAUGGGUAGCGAACAGGAUUAGAUACCCUGGUAGUCCAUGCCGUAAACGAUGAAUGCUAGGUGUUGGAGGGUUUCCGCCCUUCAGUGCCGCAGCUAACGCAUUAAGCAUUCCGCCUGGGGAGUACGACCGCAAGGUUGAAACUCAAAGGAAUUGACGGGGGCCCGCACAAGCGGUGGAGCAUGUGGUUUAAUUCGAAGCAACGCGAAGAACCUUACCAGGUCUUGACAUCUUUUGAUCACCUGAGAGAUCAGGUUUCCCCUUCGGGGGCAAAAUGACAGGUGGUGCAUGGUUGUCGUCAGCUCGUGUCGUGAGAUGUUGGGUUAAGUCCCGCAACGAGCGCAACCCUUAUGACUAGUUGCCAGCAUUUAGUUGGGCACUCUAGUAAGACUGCCGGUGACAAACCGGAGGAAGGUGGGGAUGACGUCAAAUCAUCAUGCCCCUUAUGACCUGGGCUACACACGUGCUACAAUGGAUGGUACAACGAGUUGCGAGACCGCGAGGUCAAGCUAAUCUCUUAAAGCCAUUCUCAGUUCGGACUGUAGGCUGCAACUCGCCUACACGAAGUCGGAAUCGCUAGUAAUCGCGGAUCAGCACGCCGCGGUGAAUACGUUCCCGGGCCUUGUACACACCGCCCGUCACACCAUGAGAGUUUGUAACACCCGAAGCCGGUGGCGUAACCCUUUUAGGGAGCGAGCCGUCUAAGGUGGGACAAAUGAUUAGGGUGAAGUCGUAACAAGAG